CUUAACGAUAGUGUCAAAAGUAGGAGCUCCUAAUGCAGACAACCUAGUGGUUUGUUUAAACAGCGUGUCUUUUUAUCUGUCCAGUCUCUGUAACCACGCCCAACUAAUUCGGCGAAUAAACUUCAGGCUAAUCACUUCAGACACUGGGCCAUUCAAUGUUCAGACGGCUUGAUCGCUCUUGCAUGCAUGCAUCUCGAUGACGUCAGUUGGCACCAGCACUUUAUGAUUACUGUCAAGGAUUCCCAAAGAGUUCGUCAUGGUGCCCUAGGAGUAUGGAAUCCCUCCUCGCUUCCAGGGCGUGGAUUAGUCCGGGUGUGCGGCAGAUGGGGUGAGGGGAGAGGAGG